AAAACACAGCACUCUGCAAACACGAAAGUGGACGUUAUAGGGUGUGACGCCUGCCCGGUGCCGGAAGAUUAAAUGAUGGGGUGCAAGCUCUUGAUUGAAGUCCCGGUAAACGGCGGCCGUAACUAUAACGGUCCUAAGGUAGCGAAAUUCCUUGUCGGGUAAGUUCCGACCUGCACGAAUGGCGUAACGAUGGCCACACUGUCUCCUCCCGAGACUCAGCGAAGUUGAAGUGUUUGUGAUGAUGCAAUCUCCCCGCGGCUAGACGGAAAGACCCCAUGAACCUUUACUGUAGCUUUGCAUUGGACUUUGAACCGAUCUGUGUAGGAUAGGUGGGAGGCUUUGAAAGCGUGGACGCCAGUCUGCGUGGAGCCGACCUUGAAAUACCACCCUGGUUUGUUUGAGGUUCUAACCUUGGUCCGUUAUCCGGACUGGGGACAGUGCAUGGUAGGCAGUUUUGACUGGGGCGGUCUCCUCCCAAAGUGUAACGGAGGAGUACGAAGGUACGCUAGGUACGGUCGGAAAUCGUGCUGAUAGUGCAAUGGCAUAAGCGUGCUUAACUGCGAGACCGACAAGUCGAGCAGGUGCGAAAGCAGGUCAUAGUGAUCCGGUGGUUCUGUAUGGAAGGGCCAUCGCUCAACGGAUAAAAGGUACUCUGGGGAUAACAGGCUGAUACGCCCAAGAGUUCAUAUCGACGGCGGUGUUUGGCACCUCGAUGUCGGCUCAUCUCAUCCUGGGGCUGUAGCCGGUCCCAAGGGUAUGGCUGUUCGCCAUUUAAAGAGGUACGUGAGCUGGGUUUAAAACGUCGUGAGACAGUUUGGUCCCUAUCUGCCGUGGGCGCUGGAUAUUUGAAGGGGGCUGCUCCUAGUACGAGAGGACCGGAGUGGACGAACCUCUGGUGUACCGGUUGUCACGCCAGUGGCAUCGCCGGGUAGCUAUGUUCGGAAGAGAUAACCGCUGAAAGCAUCUAAGCGGGAAACUCGCCUUAAGAUGAGAUAUCCCCGGGGCUUCGAGCCCCUUGAAGGGUCGUUCAAGACCAGGACGUUGAUAGGUCAGGUGUGGAAGCGCAGUAAUGCGUUAAGCUAACUGAUACUAAUUGCCCGUAAGGCUUGAUCCU
rnacentral:rRNA from 1 species